UACGUAGGUGGCAAGCGUUGUCCGGAUUUACUGGGCGUAAAGAGCGCGCAGGCGGUCGUUCAAGUCGCGUGUGAAAGCCCCCGGCUCAACUGGGGAGGGUCACGCGAUACUGAUCGACUCGAAGGCAGGAGAGGGAAGUGGAAUUCCCGGUGUAGUGGUGAAAUGCGUAGAUAUCGGGAGGAACACCAGUGGCGAAGGCGGCGUUCUGGACUGUUACUGACACUGAGGAACGAAAGCCAGGGGAGCAAACGGG
rnacentral:rRNA from 1 species